rnacentral:rRNA from 1 species
GAGAGGUCCGCCUGCCCUGUGACAAUUGUUCAACGGCCGCGGUAUUUUGACCGUGCGAAGGUAGCGUAAUCACUUGUCUUUUAAAUGAAGACCUGUAUGAAUGGCACGACGAAGGCCCAGCUGUCUCCUUUUUCAGGUCAGUGAAAUUGAUCUUCCCGUGCAGAAGCGGAAAUAACAACAUAAGACGAGAAGACCCUAUGGAGCUUCAGACACAGGGCAGCUCACGUCAAGCACCCCCAGAUAAAGGGCUAAACCAAGUGAACCCCUGCCCCAAUGUCUUUGGUUGGGGCGACCACGGGGAAAAACCAAACCCCCACGCGGACAAAGGAGCAGCCCUCCUACAACCAAGAGCCACCACUCUAAGUAACAGAAAUUCUGACCAAAAUGAUCCGGCAACGCCGAUCCACGGACCGAGUUACCCUAGGGAUAACAGCGCAAUCCUCUUCCAGAGCCCAUAUCUACAAGAGGGUUUACGACCUCGAUGUUGGAUCAGGACAUCCUAACGGUGCAACCGCUGUUAAGGUUCG